rnacentral:rRNA from 1 species
AGAGUUGAUUCUGGCUCAGGAUGAACGCUGGCGGCGUGCUUAACACAUGCAAGUCGAACGAAGCAGUUAUCACGAUCCUUCGGGGUGACGAUUACUGACUGAGUGGCGGACGGGUGAGUAACGCGUGGGUAACCUACCUUGUACAGGGGGACAACAGUUGGAAACGACUGCUAAUACCGCAUAAGCGCACAGCUUCGCAUGAAGCAGUGUGAAAAGUUUUUUCGGUACAAGAUGGACCCGCGUCUGAUUAGCUAGUUGGUGAGGUAACGGCCCACCAAGGCGACGAUCAGUAGCCGACCUGAGAGGGUGACCGGCCACAUUGGGACUGAGACACGGCCCAAACUCCUACGGGAGGCAGCAGUGGGGAAUAUUGCACAAUGGGCGAAAGCCUGAUGCAAGCGACGCCGCGUGAGCGAAGAAGUAUUUCGGUAUGUAAAGCUCUAUCAGCAGGGAAGAUAAUGACGGUACCUGACUAAGAAGCACCGGCCAAAUACGUGCCAGCCGCGGC